CUACACCUCUCCCAAUCAAUGGGGACAACUCUUGUCCCAUGACUCAACACGAGGCUUCUAGUUAAGGAUAAAAGAGUACUUACUACUCCUAAAUCUUUAGUGAGUAUCUGGUAGUUGAUCUAGGGCCCGACAAAUUCAAAUUCAAGUGAGGAAUCAAGUCCCAUUUUAGGGUUAAACGUUCCUUACCAAAGUUUUAGUUCCAAUGCUUGAACUUAAGAACUAAUUAAUGAUGGAGAAAUACUUGUCAAUCCACCAUAUUCUUCAAGAAAUGCCCGCAUCCAGAUGAGGAUCAACAAAAACAAUUGGGUAGGGAAGCAAGGCUUGACCAUAAACAGGUCAAGUUUUGGUUCCAAAACAGAAGGGCUCAAGCAAAGGAUGAAAAAGUAUCAAAUCUCAUCUCACAUGUUUUUGGAAGACCUUUUGUGAUGGAUUCAAAUUUGGCACAACAAAUAUCAACUCUUGGAUCAUCUUCAAAUUCAUCUGAUGGAAGUUUGUUGAACCAAGACAUAUGUGGCUCUCCCAUUAGAUAUCCUCCUCUUCGUAAAGAAAACAAUUAUAAUAACAAUAAUAUUCAUGCACAUUCAAUGAUUUCUCCAUCACCACAAGAACAUGAUGAAUGUAAUCAUGAUAGUAGGCAGCAAACAAUUAUGUUUGAGACUGUUGUUGCUUGUAUGAAUGAAAUGGUUGAACUUUGGAAGAUGAAUGAUCCAUUUUGGGUAGAUUGAUCAAGUGAUAGGCGGUGUUUUAUUCAUCGUGAGAUUUAUGGAAGAAAAUUUUCAAAUCAAGUUCUACCUCCCCAAACAUCAACAGGUCGAA